UCGCAAGAACGGGAAGAAUAAGUGAAAGCGAAUACCUUUCAUGAUGACGGUACUGUUUGUAAGCUCCGGCUAACUCCGUGCCAGCAGCCGCGGUAAUACGGGGGGAGCAAGCGUUGUUCGGAUUUACUGGGCGUAAAGGGCGCGUAGGCGGCCACGACAAGUCACUUGUGAAAUCUCCGGGCUUAACUCGGAACGGUCAAGUGAUACUGUCGGGCUAGAGUGCAGAAGGGGCAACUGGAAUUCUCGGUGUAGCGGUGAAAUGCGUAGAUAUCGAGAGGAACACCUGCGGCGAAGGCGGGUUGCUGGGCUUGACACUGACGCUGAGGCGCGAAAGCCAGGGGAGCGAACG
rnacentral:rRNA from 1 species